rnacentral:rRNA from 1 species
CAAGUCGAACGGCAGCGCGGGGCAACCUGGCGGCGAGUGGCGAACGGGUGAGUAAUAUAUCGGAACGUACCCUGGAGUGGGGGAUAACGUAGCGAAAGUUACGCUAAUACCGCAUACGAUCUAAGGAUGAAAGUGGGGGAUCGCAAGACCUCAUGCUCCUGGAGCGGCCGAUAUCUGAUUAGCUAGUUGGUAGGGUAAAAGCCUACCAAGGCAUCGAUCAGUAGCUGGUCUGAGAGGACGACCAGCCACACUGGAACUGAGACACGGUCCAGACUCCUACGGGAGGCAGCAGUGGGGAAUUUUGGACAAUGGGCGCAAGCCUGAUCCAGCAAUGCCGCGUGAGUGAAGAAGGCCUUCGGGUUGUAAAGCUCUUUUGUCAGGGAAGAAACGGUCUGCUCUAAUACAGCGGGCUAAUGACGGUACCUGAAGAAUAAGCACCGGCUAGCUACGUGCCAGCAGCCGCGGUAAUACGUAGGGUGCAAGCGUUAAUCGGAAUUACUGGGCGUAAAGCGUGCGCAGGCGGUUUUGUAAGUCUGUCGUGAAAUCCCCGGGCUCAACCUGGGAAUGGCGAUGGAGACUGCAAGGCUAGAGUUUGGCAGAGGGGGGUAGAAUUCCACGUGUAGCAGUGAAAUGCGUAGAUAUGUGGAGGAACACCGAUGGCGAAGGCAGCCCCCUGGGUCAAAACUGACGCUCAUGCACGAAAGCGUGGGGAGCAAACAGGAUUAGAUACCCUGGUAGUCCACGCCCUAAACGAUGUCUACUAGUUGUCGGGUCUUAAUUGACUUGGUAACGCAGCUAACGCGUGAAGUAGACCGCCUGGGGAGUACGGUCGCAAGAUUAAAACUCAAAGGAAUUGACGGGG